AAAGUCGUAACAAGGUUUCCGUAGGUGAACCUGCGGAAGGAUCAUUACCGAGUUAGGGUCUUAUAGGCCCGAUCUCCAACCCUUUGUUUACUAUACCAUGUUGCUUUGGUGGGCCCGCCUUUCGGGGCCGCCGGGGGUCUUGACACCCUUGGUCAGUGCCCGCCAGUAGCCUUAAUAAACUCUUUGAUAAUUAUGUUGUCUGAGUAUAAAGAUAAAAUCGUUAAAAACUUUCAACAACGGAUCUCUUGGUUCUG
rnacentral:misc_RNA from 1 species